rnacentral:rRNA from 1 species
GACGAACGCUGGCGGCGUGCUUAACACAUGCAAGUCGAGCGGAGCGGCGAACGGGUGAGUAACGCGUGAGUAACUGCCCCCCUCUCUGGGAUAACAGUUGGAAACGGCUGCUAAUACCGGAUAGUGGGGGAUGACUCGCGUCCUAGCAGCUUGUUGGUGGGGUAGAAGCCUACCAAGGCGACGACGGGUAGCCGGCCUGAGAUGGCGACCGGCCACAUUGGGCUGAGAUACGGCCCAAACUCCUACGGGAGGCAUCAGUGGGGAAUAUUGCUCAAUGGGGAAAACCCUGAUGCAGCACCGCCGCGUGCGGGAUAACGGCCUUAGGGUUGUAAACCGCUUUCAGCCAUGACGCGGUAGUGGCAGAAGAAGAACCUGCUAACUACGUGCCAGCAGCCGCGGUAAUUC